AUGACAACAAGAAGAUCGGAGCCUUCUGAGAGGCAGCCUGAUUCCUGGGAAAGAGCAUUGGCUAGAAGUCUGAAGGCCUGGGCUACUUUUACUCUGUUAUUAAAUUGCUGCUGGACCCUGGCUUUGCCAGAAGGGUAGAGAGACACUGAUGAACACUGGCCAUCUCAGCAUCCAACUCAGCACCUGGGCCACAGUAAGCACGCUGUGAAUGUUGAUUUGAGCAAGUGAACCGAUUGAAGGAAAAAUCUCCAGGAAAUGCAUCUUACAAUCUCACCAACAAGUGCAGCAUCUGGAUGGAAGCAGCAGAUAUCAAGCCAUCUCAGGUUGUCUGCUGCAGACUUGUGUGGAGAAUCCCACAAGGUGAAACCAGAAUCCUCAAGGUGAGAUAGGACUUUGCAUUGGAAGCUUUAAAAUGUAAUGCCUGGCUUUGUUUUUUGUUUUUGUUUUUUUUUGUUUUUUUGUUUUUUUACAGUCCAAAGGGAUAUUUCCCCAAAUAAUAUUUUUUUCCAUUUAUUUUUAUUAGUUGGAGGCUAAUUACUUUACAAUAUUGUAGUGGUUUUUGCCAUACAUUGACAUGAAUCAGCCAUGGAUUUACAUGUAUUCCCCAUCCCGAUCCCCCCUCCCACCUCCCUCUCCACCCGAUCCCUCUGGGUGUUCCCAGUGCACCAGCCCCAAGCACUUGCCUCACAAUACCUGGCUUUGAAAGUGAAAGUGAAAGCCACUCAGUUGUGUCCAACUCUUUGUGAUCCCAUGGACUAUGCAGUCCAUGGAAUUCUCCAGGCCAGAAUACUGGAGUGGGUAGCCAUUCCCUUCUCCAGGGAAUCUUCCCAACCCAGGUAUGGAACUUAGGUCUCCCGCAUUGCGGUCAGAUUCUUUACCAGCUGAGCCACAAGAGAAGCCCAAGAAUACUGGAGUGGGUAGCCUUUCCCUUCUCCAGGGAAUCUUCCCUACCCAGGGAUUGAACCCAGGUCUCCCACAUCGAAGGCAGAUUCUUUACCAACUAAGCCACAAGAGAAACGCAAGAAUAUUGGAAUGGGAAGCCUAUCACUUCCCCAGUGGAUCUUCCUGACCUAGGAAUCGAACUGGGGUCUCCUGCAUUGCAGGCCAAUACUUUACCAACUGAGCUAUCAGGGAAGUCCGCCUGGCUUUGAAGAAGCUGAAUAACACAAUUUACUGUGCAUUUACUAUUCAGAAAACUAACAUCAUGGCAUCCGAUCCCAUCACUUCAUGGCAAAUAGAUGGGGAAACAGUGGAAAUAGUGGCUGACUUUAUUUUUCUGGGCUCCAAAAUCACUGCAGAUGGUGACUGCAGCCAUGAAAUUAAAAGACGCUUACUCCUUGGAAGAAAGCUAUGACCAACCUAGACAGCAUAUUAAAAAGUAGAGGCAUUACUUUGCCAACAAAGGUCCGUCUAGUCAAGGCUAUGGUUUUUCCAGUGGUCAUGUAUGGAUGUGAGAGUUGGACUAUAAAGAAAGCUGAGUGCUGAAGAAUUGAUGCUUUUGAACUGUGGUGUUGGAGAAGACUCUUGAGAGUCCCUUGGAGUGCAAGGAGAUCCAACCAGUCCAUCCUAAAGGAGAUCAGUCCUGAAUGUUCAUUGGAAGGACUGAUGUUGAAGCUGAAACUCCAAUACUUUGGUCACCUGAUGUGAAGAGCUGACUGAUUUGAAAAGACCCUGAUGCUGGGAAAUAUUGAGGGCAGGAGGAGAAGGGGACAACAGAGGACAAGAUGAUUGGAUGGCAUCACCAACUCGAUGGACAUGGCUUUGGGUAGACUCUGGGAGUUGGUGAUGGACAGGGAAGGGAGGCCUGGCGUGCUGCGGUUCAUAGGGUCGCAAAGUCAGACACGACUGAGCGACUGAACUGAACUGAACCAUGCAUUGAUCUGACUA